rfam:Dipodomys ordii contig_41062, whole genome shotgun sequence.
GGGAAGGUGGCUCAGUGGUAGAGUGCUUGCCUUGCAUGCAUGAAGCCCUGGGUUCGAUUCCUCAGUUACACA